rnacentral:rRNA from 1 species
UCGUGGUCUCUAACAUAGGCCAUGGAUGACGGUACCGGACUAAGAAGCACCGGCUAACUACGUGCCAGCAGCCGCGGUAAUACGUAGGGUGCGAGCGUUAAUCGGAAUUACUGGGCGUAAAGCGUGCGCAGGCGGUUUUUGUAAGACAGAUGUGAAAAUCCCCCGGGGCUUAAACCUGGGAACUGCGUUUGUGACUGCAAGGCUAGAGUACGGCAGAGGGGGGUGGAAUUCCUGGUGUAGCAGUGAAAUGCGUAGAGAUCAGGAGGAACACCGAUGGCGAAGGCAGCCCCCUGGGCCUGUACUGACGCUCAUGCACGAAAGCGUGGGGAGCAAACAGGAUUAGAUACCCUGGUAGUCCACGCCCUAAACGAUGUCGACUAGUCGUUCGGAGCAGCAAUGCACUGAGUGACGCAGCUAACGCGUGAAGUCGACCGCCUGGGGAGUACGGCCGCAAGGUUAAAACUCAAAGGAAUUGACGGGGACCCGCACAAGCGGUGGAUGAUGUGGAUUAAUUCGAUGC